GGGAGAUUCUGAAUUUUCUUUGUUAGUUUUUGUUUUCUGUGUUAAUUUUUUUUUUUUUGUUUUCUAGGUAGUUGUUAUUGUGUUUUGUGUACAGUUUUGCAUGUUUCUCUUGAUUUCUGGACUUGGUUUCACUAGUAAAAAAUUGGGAUUAUACAGCGUACAUUAUGCCACGGUUCAUCAGAAAUUGCAGCAUAAUGCUGCGCGGUGGCAGUUUUGUAAAUAAAUUGAACUUAUAUGUCGCGGUUCCCCACUUAACCGCGGCAUAUACCCCAGUCAACCAUCACCUUUGACGCCACG
rnacentral:lncRNA from 1 species